AAGGCUUUAUCUUAAUAAAAGUGUUUGAUUUGCAUUCAGAAGAUGAAGGAUAAUAAUCUUCAAGUCUUA
rnacentral:tRNA from 1 species